rnacentral:rRNA from 1 species
AAUCAACGCUGGCGGCGUGCCUAACACAUGCAAGUCGCACGAGAAAGGGGAGCAAUCCCUGAGUAAAGUGGCGCACGGGUGAGUAACACGUGAAUCAUCUACCUCCGAGUGGGAAUAACUGAGAGAAAUCUUAGCUAAUACCGCAUAACACUUACGAGUCAAAGCAGCAAUGCGCUUGGAGAGGAGUUCGCGGCCGAUUAGUUAGUUGGCCGGGGUAA